UGCUUUUCUUUUUUUUUUUUUUUUUUAUUAACUUGAGUAUUUCUUAUAUACAUUUCGAGUGUUAUUCCCUUUCCCGGUUUCCGGGCAAACAUCCCCCUCCCGGCCUUUGCUUUUCUAAGCCAAGUGUAAUAUUCCUGUUGGAACAAGAGAAAGAGCCAUGGAGAGUGCGGACAGAGCUGACGGGCAGUUUGUCCACGGGUCCGCAGUUCCCUUCCAGUUUGGAAAUACUCUUUCCCUGAUUUGAUGAACUCCAGGCCCACACCGAGAGUCAACAGAAUCCAGGCUCAAAUCCUGACUCAUGUAGUGAAAUCCUAGAAAAGUUGCCUAAUCUCCAUUUUGUCAUACCUAGAAUAAUUCUCCUGAAGUACCUUGAACCUUGUAUGCUGUGAACUCAGUGCUGUUCGCUCCGGUUAGUGUUGGCAGUGUAUCCACAAAUGCCUGGUCUUUCUGUCAGUCAGUCCAUCCUCUUCUGCUCCUCCAAUCAAUACCAGCGUUACUAACUAGCACCUCCCACACCACUCCUUCCUGUCUCCUCACCCCAAGGUACCAUACAUGUGUUACAUGUGUGUACAGAAAACCACACUGUUGGUAGGCUAGCAGCAGAGACAGCUACAGACAGCAUGUAUGAAGCGAAAGUGUGCCGUGCUGGAAACCCAGAAACAGACAGAAUUCUGGGUAGUGGGAAGAUGGACGGUUUUUAAGGAAAGCAAAGGCUGGGAGCCUGUGUAUGAGACUGAAGAGUUAAUCCCAAAGCAGGAACUCUAUGAAGAAGAGUCAUCCAGAAAGAUAAUAGAAGAACUUAGAAGUCUUGGCCUGGAGUAUCCCAGUUUGGUGGGAGAAUGGAGCCAGGGUCAUCAUUUCAAGAGGCAAUACGGGAAUUUAAAGGUUUGUCUCGGGGCUGGAGAGAUGGCUCAGCGGUUAAGAGCACCGACUGCUCUUCCAGAGGUCAUGAGUUCAAUUCCCAGCAACCACAUGGUGGCUCACAACCAUCCGUAAUGGGAUCUGAUGCCCUCUUCUGGUGUAUCUGAAGACAGCUACAGUGUACUUGUAUAUGA
rnacentral:lncRNA from 1 species